UGGAGAAGAUUUUCUGGGAAAGUUUGUUCAUCUUUAGAAGCGAUCCGUGAGCUGGGUUAAUAGCGUCUUGAGACAGUUUUUAUCC
rnacentral:rRNA from 11 species